UACGAAGGGGGCGAGCGUUGUUCGGAUUUACUGGGCGUAAAGGGCGCGUAGGCGGCAAUUCAAGUCAUCUGUGAAAUCUCCGGGCUUAACUCGGAAUGGUCAGGUGAUACUGCUUUGCUAGAGUGCAGAAGGGGCGAUCGGAAUUCUUGGUGUAGCGGUGAAAUGCGUAGAUAUCAAGAGGAACACCUGAGGUGAAGACGGGUUGCUGGGCUGACACUGACGCUGAGGCGCGAAAGCUAGGGGAGCAAACGGG
rnacentral:rRNA from 1 species